GAUGAAGAACGCAGCGAAAUGCGAUACGUAAUGUGAAUUGCAAAUUCAGUGAAUCAUCGAGUCUUUGAACGCACAUUGCGCCCCCUGGUAUUCCGGGGGGCAUGCCUGUCCGAGCGUCAUUGCUGCCCUCAAGCACGGCUUGUGUGUUGGGCCCCGUCCUCCGAUCCCGGGGGACGGGCCCGAAAGGCAGCGGCGGCACCGCGUCCGGUCCUCGAGCGUAUGGGGCUUUGUCACCCGCUCUGUAGGCCAGGCCGGCGCUUGCCGAUCAACCCAAAUUUUUAUCCAGGUUGACCUCGGAUCAGGUAGGGAUACCCGCUGAACUUAAGCAUAUCAAUAAGCGGAGGA
rnacentral:misc_RNA from 1 species